ACUUCUACAUUGCCUGGAUUUUUAACAACAAGCAGAUAUAAAAUAAGUUCAUUGUUUUUUACUGGAGUUUCAUCCUUUGCAUCCUCCAGCCUACGUUUAAGGCUGAAUUCAUACUUAGUGACCCGACAGUACCUGCUGGCUGGCCUGGCAGUGCUCCAAGGAGACCCAGGACGCUCAGGCCACCCGGUACAAACACAGCCCAGCAUCAAGAAAACAGCACUGAAUCAGUCAGUCUUGGAUCUGUAACCAGCUGGCUGUGCGACCUUAGCCCACACUCUGGAGGCCGCAUUGCUGGCUGGUUAAGAAAUGUGGGCUCUGGAAUCAGGUUUGUAUCCCAGCUCCACCACCUAUCAGCUGUGUGACCUUGGGGAUGAACCCAGGAAGCCCUUGAGGAUUGCUGCCACUCAAAAUCCCCUGGACUCUUGUUGGUGACGGGGCAGGAGUGGAGAGGAGGACAAAGCCGGCAGCCAGCAAAGGAGGGCCCAAGUUCAAAGGUGUUAAAAGACCCGUGGCUUUGGGUGUCUCAACCAGCAAACUUCUCCUCCCUCACGGACUUUCUACAGGCUUGCAAGCCAACUGGUUUCCCCAGUGGGGAAAGUAUACCACCACUGUCUAAAAGGAGGGCCUCUCGCCAUGGAUGUGCUACAAGAGGAGAUAACAAAUGCAUUUGGGUUUCCAAUGGCCCAGCUGCACCGUGUUAAGAAAAACGCCGUUUUCCUGCUCUUAAUCCAUUCCUGGUGGAGAUGUUGCUUCAACUUGAAGGAGCCUUUUAUGUGCUGAAGUCAACUGCAAUCUAAAAGAUAAGUUAAAUCACUUAUUCAGGAAGACAGGAAGCCUUUGACAGCAGUGACUGAUUAAGAUUUCACAGCAGCCAGAGCCAGGCCUACGGAACCCAAAGAGUGCUCGUUCCCUCACCAACCAGCACUGUUGGCCCCUCCUUGGCAGCAAGCCAAGCUCAGAAUCCUACCCUCGGGGAGAUUUCCCUCUGACAGAGCAUGGAGGGGGCUGGAGCAGACAGAGGGGAGUGCUAAGUCCCAGCAGGUGAACCUGAGAGCCCUGAUGACAGGAACUAGAGAUACCCCACCCUCUGCCCAGCCCCCUUCCUCACCUCCAUUUAGCCUUGGCCUGGUCUCCCAUGGUCAGCUCAAGGGUCCCCUCUUCCAGGAAGCCUUCCCUGACCCUACAGGCCAGGACUCGCAGGUGCCUUUACACAACAUGUUCCUAGAGCACUUGUACUUUACCCCAUCCUCGCACCUUUGACUCUGAAGACUUGCCUGUCACCUGGCAUGGCAGCCACUUGACUGUGAGCACUCUGGGGGCAGCACAUGGUACCAUGCUGGAUGCCCACUAAGCUCUUGGCACGUGUUUGGAAGGCAGAGGAACCUGAGCUCAGGGAACAGAGUGACUACCUGCCUUGCCAGUGUCACCUGCCAGCUUAUCCAAGUGCUCACAGCCCUGCUGGCUGCUAACCACUGGGCCAGGCCCUGGGGGCAUCCGCAGUAUUCCAACAGGGCUUCUUGUCCUAAAAUGCCACCCAGGCCCCAAAGGCCCACUGUUAGAAUCCACUCUUUUAGCAAAGCAUCACCUCCAGAAAGUUCCCAUCCCCAAGAGGAGGCACAGUCUCACCCUGUGGUCCUCUUCAUCUGCUUGGCCAGCCAGGGAUGGGGCUCAGGGGAAGGAUUAAUCUAGGGCCCAGGAUGCUGACCAGGGUGAGCAGGCUGGAGGAGGCACUGGGGUGGGCAGUCCAUGGGCAGCCUGGGGGCACUGGGUCCAGAAGAUGAAAGUAUGCCUCAAGGGCAUCAAGGUAAGAUCCCAACUUUACACAUGAACAAAACCCUCAGAAGAGCAGAACUGGGCUAAGUUCAGGACAGAAGAGAUGUGCAAGCAGGUGAGCAAAUGAUGUCAAGGUUGGAGGUGAGCUGAAAGGCGCAGGGGGUAGCUCUGUGGAAAGCACAGUGUUCACUGUGUUGGGAGGGCUGGGACCCAAGUUACUCCACCCCUAGUCCCCCACUUCUGCACCAGUGGUAGCCCUGGGCAGGCCAUCAACCUUAGAUAUCUGAAUAUGAGAAUCAUCAUCUGCCCUGCCUGCCUUGCACAACUACUGCUCUACAUUAAAUCAGAAAGGAGAUGAGAAAAUUCUCUAGAAGCCUAAAAGCAAUAUAGAAAUAGAAACUGUUGUAACAAUCAUCAUUUGCUUUUUCAGAGUGUCUUGCAGCCUGUAUAGGGCUUUCCUAUCCAGUAACCUCCUAACCCUCAAAACAACUCUGGGAGAUAGGUAUGGAUAUGUAUACUCAAUUUACAGAUGUGAAAACUGAGGAACAGAUAGUUCCAGCCCAGAAUCACACCAAUAACAAGGGGCUGAGGUGACAGCUAUGUCCAGGUCUUCUGCUGCAAAUAGAGUAUUCUAUUUACCACACCAAGAUGUACCCUCCAUUGUCUAAAAUCACAAGCUCUGGCUGUACAGAAAACCCUCCUUAUUCUUCAGUCUUUCUAUGGAUUUGUUGAUUCCUCCUCCUUCUUCAAUCCAUCCGUGGAUUUGCUGAUUGACAAAUGAGCUUCCCUGGUCUCCUUGUCAUGGCACUGUUUGGGGGAGUUUGUGGUCAGAGUUUUUAUCUGAGGACAAGAAACCAGGCUGCAGCCUGGGCUCAGCCUCUUAUCCAUUGUGGGGCUAAGGAAGAGUCCCUGUCCCCCAGUAUUCUCCAAUCCCAUCUGAUGUUAAAACCUCUUAAUGACCCUGAUCUAAGCAUUUCCAGAAAAAGGUUCUCAGGGCCUUUCUGGGGGUGGCGGGGGCAAUCCUUUGUGACAGCAUGAAAAGCCGGAUGGGGCUGGCCUGGUUGCAAUGGCACACGCUAGGUUCCAGGCACUCCACACGUUUCUCAUGAUAACCUCGUGGUUGAUACUCACACAGAUGAGGAGCUGAAAGGCUGCAGGAGCUGCCCACCAUCCUCACACAGCGUGGAAGUGGUAGCACCAAGACUGAGGCCCAGGAGGGGGGUCCAAAGGGCCAUCCUGCAUUUUCCAUUGCAGCAGGGUGGGAAGGAGAGGGAGAUAGAGACUUUACCUCUACUCUAAAUCACCUCCUUAGGUUGCCAUAUUUUCCUUACUUCAAUGAAUUAUGUGGAACAAAAUACACUCAAUUGGUAGCAGAAAUCGGCCUCCAGUUUCUCAGAUCCUCAUUCAACGAAAGCAUCCUUUGCAGGUGCCACUGCUUGGGAAUACACCUGUAAUUCACAUCUGCACACAAAACUCCAUCUUUCUUUGAGGCCUGAACAAACAGGUUUUUGUCGUUUUGUGGUUUUUGUUUGUUUGUUUGUUUAAGAGAUGGGGUCUCACUAUGUUGCCCAGGCUGGCCUCAAACUCCUGGGCUCAAGGGACCCUACUGCCUCAGCCUCCAGAGUAGCUGGGAUGACAGGUGCACACCACUGUGUCCAGCUUUACAAAUAGGUUUCUUAGGCUGACCUUAUCAAUCUCAACAUCAACACAAUUAAGGAAUUUGCUCACAAUAGUCUCCUGUUGGAGUCUUUACGUGCACGAACAUCGUUCUCACAGACCAUCCAAUAUGGACAAACUUGACUUGGAAACAGGAAAAUAGGGAGGUAAUUAAUCACCUGGUAAAAGGACACACCCCAGAUGUACUUUUCACAUCACCAUCCCCAAAUAUGCCUUAAGGGGCAUCAAGGUAACAUCCCAGCUUUAUACCACAUGAAUAGAGCUUCUCUAUUCAUGUGGUUUUCAGAACAUAUCCAUCUACUAGACUCAGGAACUUGACUUGAGAGACAUGGAUAUUUCUUGCUUCCUGGCAGCAAAUCCAACAGCAAUUCCAGUCCCUGCAGCCAGUUAGGCAGGGAGGAAAGGGCUGGUGUGUCAGGGCUGGUCCAAGCACACUGGUAUACUUGAGUCAACAUCUGCAGCAGAGGAAGGGAGACAGAGGGGACUGAAUAAACGGAGCUGUGCCAUUGGGAGUCCACCAAGCACGCCAAUGCCCUCCUACGCCCCUCAGCUCCAGGCCUCCUGGCCUCACACCACCCUAGAACAUUCUUGUUGCCCAAACCUCAGAGGAGGGCUUUCCCUGAACCAACUCUGACUUCCUGCUUCCUCUCUGACCCUACAUGGUGGUACUCCACCUCUGCCAGACAUCCCUUCCCUGCUCUGCCUGCAGCUUCAUCAAAGCCUACUGGGCCCUGGAGAAGAGAGCCAUGCCAAUCCCCCCUGCAGUGAGCUAGCACAGUGCAUUCAGGUUAGUUACUUUCCUUCUUGGGCAUCUCUGGUUUAUAACAUGAGCCUCUUGGAGAGGGCGGUAUUUUGAACAAAAGGAAAUAAUCUUUCAUUGUGAAAUUUCAAGGACUGUGGGGGAAGAAAUCCAGUGAGGCUGGAGGGCAGUAAUGGGGGAACAGAGAGAUCUCUGAGAUACAACAAUGUCACACGGACCAGCCAUGAGCUACUACUGGAAAUCUGUUUUUCAAAAUUUAAAAGAGUCAAUUUCCAGAUGUCUGCUUAGCGGAGCCAAACUGCUGUUGAUUUGUUCCCAGUUCGCCACGGAAUAAAGUCUGAACUCCUCACCCGA